GCCAGCAUGGCCUUGUGGUUUGAGAGCUGGACUAUGACUCCGGGGAUCCAGGGUUCGAGUCCCAGCUCAGCCA